AGGUAAUUGCAAUGGUGACUGUCCCAGUGCCCCCAGCUCAUCCUCAGAUUUGUUUAGGCUGCAUGUGGCACCAUGUCAGUGUCACAGGUCUGCUGUGUCAGUGUCCCCUUGGCAUGUGUCCCAUCCAGCAAUGGAGAACAGUCUGCAGAUCCGCCUUCCCCUCUGAGUGCCAAGAGGAGAGUGCUGUCCCGCUCAGCCCUGCAGUCUCACCAGCCUGUGGCCAGACCUGUCGCCAUGGGACUCGCUAGGUAUGGGGCUUCUGGGGUGGAUGAGGGCAUGGGACUAAAUUGUCUCUCCUUUCCAUAUGGCCCUCGGUGAUGUGACUGAGCAGCUAGCUACCCUUGGUGUCAUGUGCUUGAGUUGAGGUUGGCUCUGAGUGCUAAGUCAAAGC
rnacentral:lncRNA from 1 species